rnacentral:tRNA from 1 species
AUCCCUGUAGCGCAAUAGAUAGCGCUUGGACUUAUAAUCCAUAGGUCGUGGGUUUGAAUUCCACCUGGGAUA